AUAUUCAGUCUCUCGUCCAUCAGGACCCCCAGGUCCUUCUCUGCCGAGCUGCUCUCAAGGACCACUGCUCCCACAAACACCCUGCUCUCCCAAGAGCACCUGUAUUUAUUCUGCUUCCGAAAUGUAUUGGUUAAAAGAAGCGUUUGAGAAACAACUUGUGGGCUCUUGAGUUUUUGGGCAGAAAGUGGCAUUUGUGAAAGAUGGCUUAUUAUUUGAAUGUGUAAUAUGAGGGAUGAUGAUUAUUAUAAUGGGAUGUGGUCAUGCUUGCCCUGUUCACGUUUGUCUGCUAGGAAUUAAGGUAUUGUUUGGUAAACUCUCUUUUUGGGAGAGGACAAAACUGAGGGAGCCUUGCAGUUCUGAUUCAGUCUUGUAGUUCUUGUGUAGUGAGCCCGUUUUAUCCUAUGCUGUUUUUAAAUUGUUCAGCUAAGCUUAGGGUUGUACUGAAGUAGGAGUAAUAAAUAACUUUGGAUGCACAGUUCUCAACAGGUACAUCUGUGAAACUUGAAUUCUGCUGCAGUUGGCAGAAGAGGAAGAAGCACAUGCAGCAUCACUUGAUUCAAAUACGCCUCAAAAUAACAGAAAAUUGUAACAUUCCCUCCAUCUCGCCUUCGCAGAUACGUUUGUUCAGCAUUUUCAGGAAGGCAAAAGCCAACAGACUUAACCUUCUGAAUACAGGCAAAAGCAAAUGGAAUCAGUGACUCUUCACAGACUCAUUUCAGAUUCAUCUCCAUUGUUUGAGAAAAAUCUAGAGAUAACCAGCCUACAAAUGGUAAAGCCAGCAACUCUGGAAAGAGGAGCUCCUAGCCUGUCUGCAGAGCAAUAGAAACAGCCCAUCUGCCAACACUGCAGGGAAUGGUGGGGCUGAAGAUCUCAUUAAUUCUGUUCCUUAAGAGGGAUUAAUGUGAAGAACGAUCAAAUACAGACUGUCUAAAGAAAAUAGUACCAAAUCAAACAAAAGGCUAAUGACUUCCCACAGAAAGCCUUUUACUGCCAAGAUGGGAGUGACCCUGAGUCUCAAACUCCCAAUAUCAGCAUAGUGAAAAUUAACACGCGAGUGAAAUUGUUUCAAAAUAUUCUGAAAAAAAUAGAUCUACUACAAAGGAGACACGAUGAAGCAAUAAUUUUCACUUAGAAAAAGUUCAACUUGGUGUUAUUUGGGAUUCCUACCAAGGAACUGCUUUAAUUAAAGCUUGCGUUGGAGUGUGUUUGCAGCAGAAGACUUACUAAGAAGACUUAAUACAAGCAUCAGAGGAUUUCCCCUAAGAAAGGAGAAGCAAAGCUUUUGGUUGGUUUUGAGAUGUCUGUCUCAAACACCUCCACACUUAAAAUCCCAGAUAUCAUUUGGUGCAUUCUUAUACUAGUCAAAAUUAGUUUUAAAGGAUCACUAUCGACGUGAACAUUUUCUAAAUGACAAAAGCAGGAUCCUGUACGAUCGAAAUAAAAGAACAGAGGUUUAA